CAUGCAAGUCGAACGGCAGCACGGGUGCUUGCACCUGGUGGCGAGUGGCGGACGGGUGAGUAAUGCAUCGGAACGUGUCCUAAAGUGGGGGAUAACGCAUCGAAAGAUGUGCUAAUACCGCAUAUUCUCUGAGGAGGAAAGUAGGGGGAUCGAAAGACCUUAUGCUUUUGGAGCGGCCGAUGUCUGAUUAGCUAGUUGGUAGGGUAAUGGCUUACCAAGGCGACGAUCAGUAGUUGGUCUGAGAGGACGACCAGCCACACUGGGACUGAGACACGGCCCAGACUCCUACGGGAGGCAGCAGUGGGGAAUUUUGGACAAUGGGCGCAAGCCUGAUCCAGCAAUGCCGCGUGAGUGAAGAAGGCCUUCGGGUUGUAAAGCUCUUUCAGUUGAGAAGAAAAGUCGUGACUAAUAAUCAUGAUUCAUGACGGUAUCAACAGAAGAAGCACCGGCUAACUACGUGCCAGCAGCCGCGGUAAUACGUAGGGUGCAAGCGUUAAUCGGAA
rnacentral:rRNA from 1 species